CUCACGGCUUAACUGUGAGCGUGCGGGCGAUACGGGCAGACUUGAGUACUGCAGGGGAGACUGGAAUUCCUGGUGUAGCGGUGGAAUGCGCAGAUAUCAGGAGGAACACCGGUGGCGAAGGCGGGUCUCUGGGCAGUAACUGACGCUGAGGAGCGAAAGCGUGGGGAGCGAACAGGAUUAGAUACCCUGGUAGUCCACGCCGUAAACGGUGGGUACUAGGUGUGGGUUUCCUUCCUUGGGAUCCGUGCCGUAGCUAACGCAUUAAGUACCCCGCCUGGGGAGUACGGCCGCAAGGCUAAAACUCAAAGAAAUUGACGGGGGCCCGCACAAGCGGCGGAGCAUGUGGAAUAAUUCGAUGCAACGCGAAGAACCUUACCUGGGUUUGACAUGCACAGGACGCCGGCAGAGAUGUCGGUUCCCUUGUGGCCUGUGUGCAGGUGGUGCAUGGCUGUCGUCAGCUCGUGUCGUGAGAUGUUGGGUUAAGUCCCGCAACGAGCGCAACCCUUGUCUCAUGUUGCCAGCGGGUAAUGCCGGGGACUCGUGAGAGACUGCCGGGGUCAACUCGGAGGAAGGUGGGGAUGACGUCAAGUCAUCAUGCCCCUUAUGUCCAGGGCUUCACACAUGCUACAAUGGCCGGUACAAAGGGCUGCGAUGCCGCGAGGUUAAGCGAAUCCUUUUAAGCCGGUCUCAGUU
rnacentral:rRNA from 1 species